UACGUAGGGUGCAAGCGUUGUCCGGAAUUAUUGGGCGUAAAGAGCUCGUAGGCGGUUUGUUGCGUCGGCUGUGAAAUCCCGAGGCUCAACCUCGGGUCUGCAGUCGAUACGAGCAAACUAGAGUGUUGCAGGGGAGACUGGAAUUCCUGGUGUAGCGGUGAAAUGCGCAGAUAUCAGGAGGAACACCGGUGGCGAAGGCGGGUCUCUGGGCCGACACUGACGCUGAGGCGCGAAAGCCAGGGGAGCAAACGGG
rnacentral:rRNA from 1 species